CUCGAGUGGCGAACGGGUGAGUAACACGUGGGUGAUCUGCCCUGCACUUUGGGAUAAGCCUGGGAAACUGGGUCUAAUACCGGAUAGGAUCACGCGCCUCAUGGUGUGUGGUGGAAAGCUUUUGCGGUGUGGGAUGGGCCCGCGGCCUAUCAGCUUGUUGGUGGGGUAAUGGCCUACCAAGGCGACGACGGGUAGCCGGCCUGAGAGGGUGUCCGGCCACACUGGGACUGAGAUACGGCCCAGACUCCUACGGGAGGCAGCAGUGGGGAAUAUUGCACAAUGGGCGCAAGCCUGAUGCAGCGACGCCGCGUGAGGGAUGACGGCCUUCGGGUUGUAAACCUCUUUCAACUACGACGAAGCGCAAGUGACGGUAGUAGUAGAAGAAGGACCGGCCAACUACGUGCCAGCAGCCGCGGUAAUACGUAGGGUCCGAGCGUUGUCCGGAAUUACUGGGCGUAAAGAGCUCG
rnacentral:rRNA from 1 species